rnacentral:rRNA from 1 species
UGCAAGUCGAGCGAACUGAUUAGAAGCUUGCUUCUAUGACGUUAGCGGCGGACGGGUGAGUAACACGUGGGCAACCUGCCUGUAAGACUGGGAUAACUUCGGGAAACCGAAGCUAAUACCGGAUAGGAUCUUCUCCUUCAUGGGAGAUGAUUGAAAGAUGGUUUCGGCUAUCACUUACAGAUGGGCCCGCGGUGCAUUAGCUAGUUGGUGAGGUAACGGCUCACCAAGGCAACGAUGCAUAGCCGACCUGAGAGGGUGAUCGGCCACACUGGGACUGAGACACGGCCCAGACUCCUACGGGAGGCAGCAGUAGGGAAUCUUCCGCAAUGGACGAAAGUCUGACGGAGCAACGCCGCGUGAGUGAUGAAGGCUUUCGGGUCGUAAAACUCUGUUGUUAGGGAAGAACAAGUACAAGAGUAACUGCUUGUACCUUGACGGUACCUAACCAGAAAGCCACGGCUAACUACGUGCCAGCAGCCGCGGUAAUACGUAGGUGGCAAGCGUUAUCCGGAAUUAUUGGGCGUAAAGCGCGCGCAGGCGGUUUCUUAAGUCUGAUGUGAAAGCCCACGGCUCAACCGUGGAGGGUCAUUUGGAAACUGGGGAACUUGAGUG